GGGUCGUUAGCUCAGUUGGUAGAGCAUCGGACUUUUAAUCCGCAGGCCCCGGGUUCGAGCCCCGGACGACCCACCA
rnacentral:tRNA from 1 species